rnacentral:rRNA from 1 species
GUGGGGAAUAUUGCACAAUGGGCGAAAGCCUGAUGCAGCGACGCCGCGUGCGGGAUGAAGGCUCUAGGGUUGUAAACCGCUUUCAGCAGGGAUGAGGCCGCAAGGUGACAGUACCUGCAGAAGAAGCCCCGGCUAACUACGUGCCAGCAGCCGCGGUAAUACGUAGGGGGCAAGCGUUAUCCGGAUUCAUUGGGCGUAAAGCGCGCGUAGGCGGUCUGUUAGGUCGGGAGUAAAAUCCAGGGGCUCAACCCCUGUCCGCUUCCGAUACCGGCAGACUUGAGUUUGGUAGGGGAAGGUGGAAUUCCCAGUGUAGCGGUGGAAUGCGCAGAUAUUGGGAAGAACACCGGUGGCGAAGGCGGCCUUCUGGGCCAUAACUGACGCUGAGGCGCGAAAGCUAGGGGAGCGAACAGGAUUAGAAACCCCAGUAGUCC